GUCAACUUUACUCCUCUCUCCUGCUCGGUUCACUUUGAGAAUUAAUACUCUCCUAAUAUCAUCUGGUCUGACUUUAACUGCUUGCUGAAGUGUCUGAUCUGCAUUUCUUUGACUUCUUCUAGGUGAUGUUUCUCUUUAUGAAUCCCUCAGACGCCCUGGAAACCCUGCAAACGGUGAACCAGCUCAGGAUUACAUCAAUGUCACAUCCCACCAGCUUGAUGAUCUUCAUGAAUGAUUGUCAGUGAUGCCAGUGGAGCCUCAUCUUCAGGACUGGAAACCACAGCAGAGUCCGAGAAUCAACAGGUUCUGAUUAAAACAUGAAAAGCGACUGAAACCAGAUCAAGCCUGGUGGUUGAAACAAGGAGCUGCUCCUCAUGCACAGAAUACACACUGUGUGUAGGACGGUGUGUGGAGGAAGAG